UUGCCUCUUAAAGAUGAUUCAGUAGUUGCUAAUACAUAAGGGUAAAGUAUGUCUCCAUACAACUCAGAGAAUAGAUAGUACAAACUCCUCUUUGGAUCUUACCUAAAGACAUUGAA